rnacentral:tRNA from 1 species
AGGUAGGGUAGUAUGAUGAAGUACGUUGGUUUGUGGUGCCGAAAGUGUUAUUAAUUUGACUCCUGCUUU